AAUUGACAAGGCUGAAUAUACUGCUUGCUAAAUACCUAUCACAUCAGCACAAUGUUCAACACAAUAAAACAAAAUAUACUUAUAACAUUAGCACAAGGUUCAACAUAACUAGGCAGCAGUCGGCAGCAGUCGGCAGCACUGGCAAACAACUAUGCUCUCAGAAUUAAUGGCUCACCUGCCAAGACAAUGAACGUGGCGAUGAGUACUCGGUGACUACUUCGCCACCGACUGCGGAGCACUGUUGAUUCGAAGCGUCUUUUAUAGUCCGAUAAAGGAUCCAGGCGCCACGGUUCGGUGCGAUGUCGAAGCUAGCAGCGGCCACUUUGGAGAGCAGCUUAGCGGGCAAUCAGGAACACCGCCUAAACCUUCCAGCUGAAUACUCGGGCCAUGCUUGGGACGAAGAAUUGCGCAGCCGCAGAAGCUUGCUCCAGGUUAUUUCACGGCGGCUAAAGCAGCACCUGCCAAGACAAUGAACGUGGCGAUGAGUACUCGGUGACUACUUCGCCACCGACUGCGGAGCACUGUUGAUUCGAAGCGUCUUUUAUAGUCCGAUAAAGGAUCCAGGCGCCACGGUUCGGUGCGAUGUCGAAGCUAGCAGCGGCCACUUUGGAGAGCAGCUUAGCGGGCAAUCAGGAACACCGCCUAAACCUUCCAGCUGAAUACUCGGGCCAUGCUUGGGACGAAGAAUUGCGCAGCCGCAGAAGCUUGCUCCAGGUUAUUUCACGGCGGCUAAAGCAGCACCUGCCAAGACAAUGAACGUGGCGAUGAGUACUCGGUGACUACUUCGCCACCGACUGCGGAGCACUGUUGAUUCGAAGCGUCUUUUAUAGUCCGAUAAAGGAUCCAGGCGCCACGGUUCGGUGCGAUGUCGAAGCUAGCAGCGGCCACUUUGGAGAGCAGCUUAGCGGGCAAUCAGGAACACCGCCUAAACCUUCCAGCUGAAUACUCGGGCCAUGCUUGGGACGAAGAAUUGCGCAGCCGCAGAAGCUUGCUCCAGGUUAUUUCACGGCGGCUAAAGCAGCACCUGCCAAGACAAUGAACGUGGCGAUGAGUACUCGGUGACUACUUCGCCACCGACUGCGGAGCACUGUUGAUUCGAAGCGUCUUUUAUAGUCCGAUAAAGGAUCCAGGCGCCACGGUUCGGUGCGAUGUCGAAGCUAGCAGCGGCCACUUUGGAGAGCAGCUUAGCGGGCAAUCAGGAACACCGCCUAAACCUUCCAGCUGAAUACUCGGGCCAUGCUUGGGACGAAGAAUUGCGCAGCCGCAGAAGCUUGCUCCAGGUUAUUUCACGGCGGCUAAAGCAGCACCUGCCAAGACAAUGAACGUGGCGAUGAGUACUCGGUGACUACUUCGCCACCGACUGCGGAGCACUGUUGAUUCGAAGCGUCUUUUAUAGUCCGAUAAAGGAUCCAGGCGCCACGGUUCGGUGCGAUGUCGAAGCUAGCAGCGGCCACUUUGGAGAGCAGCUUAGCGGGCAAUCAGGAACACCGCCUAAACCUUCCAGCUGAAUACUCGGGCCAUGCUUGGGACGAAGAAUUGCGCAGCCGCAGAAGCUUGCUCCAGGUUAUUUCACGGCGGCUAAAGCAGCACCUGGCAAGACAAUGAACGUGGCGAUGAGUACUCGGUGACUACUUCGCCACCGACUGCGGAGCACUGUUGAUUCGAAGCGUCUAUUAUAGUCCGAUAAAGGAUCCAGGCGCCACGGUUCGGUGCGAUGUCGAAGCUAGCAGCGGCCACUUUGGAGAGCAGCUUAGCGGGCAAUCAGGAACACCGCCUAAACCUUCCAGCUGAAUACUCGGGCCAUGCUUGGGACGAAGAAUUGCGCAGCCGCAGAAGCUUGCUCCAGGUUAUUUCACGGCGGCUAAAGCAGCACCUGCCAAGACAAUGAACGUGGCGAUGAGUACUCGGUGACUACUUCGCCACCGACUGCGGAGCACUGUUGAUUCGAAGCGUCUUUUAUAGUCCGAUAAAGGAUCCAGGCGCCACGGUUCGGUGCGAUGUCGAAGCUAGCAGCGGCCACUUUGGAGAGCAGCUUAGCGGGCAAUCAGGAACACCGCCUAAACCUUCCAGCUGAAUACUCGGGCCAUGCUUGGGACGAAGAAUUGCGCAGCCGCAGAAGCUUGCUCCAGGUUAUUUCACGGCGGCUAAAGCAGCACCUGCCAAGACAAUGAACGUGGCGAUGAGUACUCGGUGACUACUUCGCCACCGACUGCGGAGCACUGUUGAUUCGAAGCGUCUUUUAUAGUCCGAUAAAGGAUCCAGGCGCCACGGUUCGGUGCGAUGUCGAAGCUAGCAGCGGCCACUUUGGAGAGCAGCUUAGCGGGCAAUCAGGAACACCGCCUAAACCUUCCAGCUGAAUACUCGGGCCAUGCUUGGGACGAAGAAUUGCGCAGCCGCAGAAGCUUGCUCCAGGUUAUUUCACGGCGGCUAAAGCAGCACCUGCCAAGACAAUGAACGUGGCGAUGAGUACUCGGUGACUACUUCGCCACCGACUGCGGAGCACUGUUGAUUCGAAGCGUCUUUUAUAGUCCGAUAAAGGAUCCAGGCGCCACGGUUCGGUGCGAUGUCGAAGCUAGCAGCGGCCACUUUGGAGAGCAGCUUAGCGGGCAAUCAGGAACACCGCCUAAACCUUCCAGUUGAAUAUUCGGGCCAUGCUUGGGACGAAGAAUUGCGCAGCCGCAGAAGCUUGCUCCAGGUUAUUUCACGGCGGCUAAAGCAG